rnacentral:rRNA from 1 species
GACGAACGCUGGCGGCGUGCCUAAUACAUGCAAGUAGAACGCUGAAGGAGGAGCUUGCUCUUCUGGAUGAGUUGCGAACGGGUGAGUAACGCGUAGGUAACCUGCCUGGUAGCGGGGGAUAACUAUUGGAAACGAUAGCUAAUACCGCAUAAGAGUAGAUGUUGCAUGACAUUUACUUAAAAGGUGCAAUUGCAUCACUACCAGAUGGACCUGCGUUGUAUUAGCUAGUUGGUGGGGUAACGGCUUACCAAGGCGACGAUACAUAGCCGACCUGAGAGGGGGGUCGGCCACACUGGGACUGGGACACGGCCCAGACUCCUACGGGAGGCAGCAGUAGGGAAUCUUCGGCAAUGGACGGAAGUCUGACCGAGCAACGCCGCGUGAGUGAAGAAGGUUUUCGGAUCGUAAAGCUCUGUUGUAAGAGAAGAACGAGUGUGAGAGUGGAAAGUUCACACUGUGACGGUAUCUUACCAGAAAGGGACGGCUAACUACGUG